rnacentral:rRNA from 1 species
GACGAACGCUGGCGGCGUGCUUAACACAUGCAAGUCGAACGGUGAAGGGACUGGUUUUGCUGGUCCUGGAUGAGUGGCGAACGGGUGAGUAACACGUGAGUAACCUGCCCCCUUCUUCUGGAUAACCGCAUGAAAGUGUGGCUAAUACGGGAUAUUCUGGGUCUGUCGCAUGGUGGGCCUGGGAAAGGUUUUUUCCGGUGGGGGAUGGGCUCGCGGCCUAUCAGCUUGUUGGUGGGGUGAUGGCCUACCAAGGCGGUGACGGGUAGCCGGCCUGAGAGGGUGGACGGUCACACUGGGACUGAGACACGGCCCAGACUCCUACGGGAGGCAGCAGUGGGGAAUAUUGCACAAUGGGCGCAAGCCUGAUGCAGCGACGCCGCGUGAGGGAUGGAGGCCUUCGGGUUGUGAACCUCUUUCGCCAGUGAAGCAGGCCUGCUCCUUUUU